UUAUAUUUCUUGUUUCCAUUCUACUCUACUGAUGCACUUCAAAUGGUAAUGAUCUUUUUAUAUGUAUUAUAAAUCACACAUCUAAUAUACUUCCCAAUCUUGUAACCCUUGUGCUGAGAAUGUGUGCAGGGUGUAAUUUGAUAGAAACGAAGUUUGUAUUAUGAAACAACUGUGACACAAUUUGCUAAUUCUGAGGAAAAUCCCAAGUAAAUGGACAAGAUUUUCACUCAUAUGGAGACAUCACCAUUGCCAGUGAAGGGCUGCAAAAUUUAGGCCUAUGCUCGGCGCGUAUGGCCUUUGAGCAGGGAGGGAUCAUUAUCGUGCCACACCUGCUGUGACACGGGACCUCGGUUUUUGCGGUCUCAUCUGAAGAUUCAUUACUAAGCAAGUAAUCCCUGGAGUUAGACUUAGUCCUAUGCCAUGGGAUAUGCAGGCUUUGUCUCAGUUUGGGGGAUGCAGGCUUGUCCAACAGAUCUUCCCGUGAGCUAAACCGAUGCCUCGAACUCUG